AUGUGGACCAAUAGACUCAGGUUCCUCUCUCAAGCCUGCUGUCAUGACAGGAGACGGGCUCUAAGCAAAGCUCUGUAUGCUCUAAGAUGGGCCGUCAACAUGCAUCGUGCGCAAACUGAUGCAGUGGAGAGGAGGAGAAGCGCUUUUCUGCUCGGUCACACUUUUUACCAGUGGAAGAAUCACUAUGAGAGCAAACACCUGGAAAACUCAUUCCACAAUGAGCGCAACACAGCUGCUUUGAGAAAACGACUCAUUCCUCCCAGCAAUACUUUAGUCCUGAUGACCACAUGUUCCACCUGGAAGAACCUGCAUGUGCUCAGAACGGCUGUGAUUCAUCAUCAUCUAUCUGUACUGUAUAAGCACUGGCUGCUCUGGAGGCAGGUGUGUUCGAGGCGGUUCUUGAGAAGUCACCAGGAGUGGUGGUCAUGUGUUUGGUGGGACAGGAGACUCCAGAGCAAAGCCUGGACCCUGUGGACAUUAACCAGGCAGAGGACACAGCUGGCCGCACAUCAGUACAGGAUGCAUUUGUUAUCAUCACAAUGGAAGGACUGGAAGAUCAGGAACAGUCAGAAGAAGACGGAGAAGUUGAUUCAGUCCAUUCAGAGGAGCAACCUUCUUCACUCCUUCCAUCUCUGGAAGAAAAGAGCAGAAGCCUGUCAAAAAGACAGAGAAAAACAGUUGGUUUUGAGCCGACGCACCCUGCACUCCUGGCACUGCUACUUUCAGAAGAAAAAGCUAACACGGUUGAGCACCAGAGCACGAUGGAUGCUCUCCAGAUGGAUGUUAGCAGCAACCUUCAGGAAGUGGAGAGAUGUCUCAGACAGGAAGCAGGACACGAGGAGAUGUCUGGAAAGAGUGCGCCUCCUGCAGGAGAAGGGUAGGAUGCAGGCUGCGUUUGCAGUUUGGUGUCAAAGCGCUGGGGUGAGGAAGGCAUUGGAAACGGGCUUCCAUAGUUAA
rnacentral:lncRNA from 1 species